UACGGAGGGUGCAAGCGUUGUCCGGAUUUAUUGGGGUUAAAGGGUGCGUAGGCGGCUUUUUAAGUCAGUGGUGAAAGACAACAGCUCAACUGUUGCAGUGCCAUUGAUACUGAAGAGCUUGAGUACAGAUGAGGUAAGCGGAAUUUAUGGUGUAGCGGUGAAAUGCAUAGAUACCAUAAAGAACACCUAUUGCGAAGGCAGCUUACUAAGCUGUAACUGACGCUGAGGCACGAAAGUGUGGGGAUCAAACAGG
rnacentral:rRNA from 1 species